UUUUUCUUUUUUCUUUGUUUUUUUUUUUUUGACUCUUCUGAACCCACUGCCCACUUUCCAUGUAAUAACACACACAUGGUCUAUUCCCCAUAAUUACAAUCAAAAAUAUAUCAUGGCUAUGUGACUGAGUGCAUACACUAACACCAUAUGUGGCACAUAAUAAACACUUGACACAAUUUGGAGCAAAUCUAUUUGUAAUGCAGAAGUCCAUUACACAUGUUAGAGGACAGAGAUUCUCCAAUUGCUGUGACUCAGUUGUCAUAUGAUGGGUAUUAAAGUAGCUGAAGCAGCUGCCUCAUUCAUUGCUUAUUAAUUGAUGUUCUUUUCUGCAACAUUAUACAUGUAAUGUGUUGGUUUUUCCUACAUGUCACCAUGAUAUACUUUGCAGAUGUGCAUAACACCUAAUUCUGGUUGUUGUCAUAUGUAAAAGCCAAAGUUGGGAAAGUGACAAUCUCUAACUAUCUAGUAACAGCAAGCUUCUUAAGGGUUCAUUCCCAGGUCAUUAGUGGAAUAAUUUUCCCCUCCACAUCUUCAUCUUCUUGCAUAAAAAGCAUAAAAGCUAAAGAAAUUACUAGACUCCCUCCAGUAAGAGAAAAGAGGGGUGAUAUGAUUUAGACAUGCUCUCCAGACAAAUUAGCCUAUGGAAAAGCAAGAAGAAAGGUGAGAUCAUGCCUAUCUUUAUAGUAGUUAUCUUAGAUUCCAAAUUGACAUUAUGUGGUCUUUUAAUACAAAAAUAGUUUAGAAAGAGCAGUACAGUAGGUCCAAUUAUAUGGUAGUUUCUUCUUCAGAAAUAUUAGUAGUGAAAUAGCUCCUGCAAGUGGUCUGGCAUGAUUUGUACUCAUCUCAUAAAAUCGAUACAACCUACUUUUAGUCAACACUCUUUAAUAGAAAAAAAAAUUGUGUAUGGUCUUGAGGUAACUGAAAUGAAAAAAAAAGCCAAAACUAUAAAUAAUUGGCUAUAGUCAAUGUUGCUAAUUAUUAUGCCCCAUGACUCUUCAGAUAUACCUGCAUUUAUGAGCACAUUUCGACAUCUGUGAAAAACCCUAGUCUUCAUUAAGCCCUUGAUUUGAUCCACCCUAAAUGAUAUGAUUUCCUGAGAAAUGGUGUCCUAAGACCAGAAAGAUGCCUCAACAAAUAAAGCAUGUGUCACAUAAGUAUGAGGACCUGAAUUUGGAUCCCUAGAACCCACACUAAACUGGACACAUAUAGCAAUGUACACAGUAGCACAUAUGUGUAGUCACACAUACUUAAGUCAAGACUGAUGGGGUGACAGGAGAAGCCCCAGAAUCUCUGAGGCCAGUUUGUCUACUUUACCAGUAUUUACUCUUUACUCAUAAUUUUCCAUUGUUAAUAUAGCUCCCCUUUCUAAAGUAUUCCAUCUUAUUCUCUAUAUAAGACAGAUAGAUGAUAGAUAAGGAUUAUGUGUAACAUAAAAAGAUUAUACUGUAACUUACAGGCAAAAACAUCUUUAACCACUAUGCAAUUAUUUGUUGUGUCAUCUAGGAAGUGUCACUCCAUCAAGAAUAAUCUAUUCAUUUUGAGUAACAUGUAUUUUUUCUCUCUUUCUCUCCUGAAUAUGUGAGUUUGUUCAUGUUUUACCUGUGUGCUGGUGAAGAUGCACAUCUGUAUAUACAUGUGAAAGCAAAAGCAUAAGGCUCUAGUUAUCAUGCCAAAGAUGAUGUCCACAUUCUUUGUGGACACAGGGUUUUGCAAUAGGUCUUGAAUUUCAGGGAUUUGCCUAAGCUGGUUUGUCAGUGAAAGCCAGACACCCUCUUGUCUCUAGUGCCUGACAUUAGGGAGAGGAACUUAUAGAGCCCAUCUCCAGCAGGAAACCAUGGCAUCAACUGAGGAAUGGGGUUACUAUCCAAUGGUCACAACUCUGACCCAUAAUUCUUCCUAUAAGAAAGAAUUACAGGAAUGGAAAUGGAGAAGAGCUUAAGGAAAAGAGGGUCUAGAGACAGACUCAAAGUGGGAUCCAGCUCAAGGGGAGGGCUGAAGGCCCAACACUAUUACUGAGGCUAUGGAGAAUUCACAAAAAGGGACCUAGCAUGACUGCCCUCUGAAAGACCCAACAAGCAGCUGAAAGAAUCAGAUGCACAUAUUUGCACCCAACCAUUGGACAGAAGCAGCUGACCUCUGUUGUUGAAUGAGGGAAGGAAGGAUGAAUAAAAAUGCGGAGAUGAGCGAUCCUGUAGGAUGACCAGCAGUCUCAAUUAAUCUGGAUCUCCAAGAUCUCUCAAACUGGACUACCAACCAGGCAGCAUACGCCAGCUGAUAUGUGGCCCCAACACACAUACAGUAGAGGACUGCUGGGUCUGUGCUCAUUCAGAGAUGAUGCACCAACUCUUAAGAUACUGGAGCCCCCAGAGAGUUUAGAGGUCAUGUAGGGUAGGGGUGGGGACAUUCAGCAGGGUGGGAAGGAGGUACAGGAAGGAUGUGGAACAGUCAAAGGGUGAAUGGGGGGAGAUAAAAUAGAAAGUGUAAAAAAUAAAUUAAUUAAAAUAUAAAAAAAUUUAAAAGGAGUUUUGAAUCAAUUUUCAGGAAGAAGUUUAAUAUCUGAGAAAAAUUUCAGGUAUCCAAGCUCAUGUACUGAUCACAUAAAAGACACUGUAGCUUUGGGGCUUUAAUAAUAGAAGAAAAUAUUUGGUUAAAACUACUCUCUAAUUUUAAUGAAUUUAGGUUGUCCUCAUGAUCAGAUGACACACAAAU
rnacentral:lncRNA from 1 species